UUAAAUUGAAGAGUUUGAUCAUGGCUCAGAUUGAACGCUGGCGGCAGGCCUAACACAUGCAAGUCGAACGGUAACAGGAAACAGCUUGCUGUUUCGCUGACGAGUGGCGGACGGGUGAGUAAUGUCUGGGAAACUGCCUGAUGGAGGGGGAUAACUACUGGAAACGGUAGCUAAUACCGCAUAACGUCGCAAGACCAAAGAGGGGGACCUUCGGGCCUCUUGCCAUCGGAUGUG
rnacentral:rRNA from 1 species